CCCCUUUUAUAAAUGUGGCAUCUAUGGCAUAACUAUGCAGCAGCCACCUUCAUGUCACCCAAACCUUGUGCUGUGUUCCAAAAGAACUUCUGCUGGUGCCAUGAUUGUGAUGUGGCCUUGACGCCAAAGAAGCGAAUACAUUUUUUGUACAAGCGAGCUUCUGCAGUUUUGAAUAUGCAUUGUGCUCGCGAAAACUCACUACCAAACUGAAGAACAUUGAAUGAAAUCAGCAACCAGUGCGAGUGUCAGAAGCGCCGUGUGUGCCUCUGAACGACGUCUUGAUCCCAACGCAGCCUGGUGAUGGCUUCAUGCGGUGUCGUCCCAGGCUCUGCGAAAUCCCGUUGGAAGCCUUGCCUGCGACCUGUGAAUUUAAAAUUUUGAAGUCCGAGUAUAAAUACUGGCAUCAGCUGCGGACGGCUCCUGCGUCCACAGCCACGCGCUCGACCGCUCUGGGGGUGACUGCAGAACCGCACCUUUCUGUGCCCCCUUGUGUAAUCU
rnacentral:lncRNA from 1 species